CUUUGUUCGUGCAUUUACAUGUACAUGUGCAGAAGCAGGAGGGCGCAUGUAAAGGCCGACCUCACUGGCCGAGGGAUCUUAUUAAGUCGGAGGGCUUCUGAAGAUUUUGAUAUACGCAAAAGGAUACAUUAGCGGUAUUAUUGCACAAAGUAUUCGUUUGAUUCGAUAAUUUCGUGUUUUGUGAUGUGUUUUCGUGAAGAGAUCCCGGUUUAGUAAUGUCUUUUAUGCGUGGGUGAAUUGUCAUUGGUCAGUUUGUUUUAAUUAUGAUAUUAACAGGGCUGUCAUAAAGCAGUCCGUUUUUACACGAGUCCCUGAAAUACUCAUGAUAACAAAAUGGCAAAAUCAUUUUAUGCUUUAUUUAUUUUAACCGUUAAUGCAUGUGUUUCUCUCCGUUUAUGUGCCGUUUGAGUCAUUGUCUAGAAUUAAUGAUCAUCAAAUAAGUUUUUGAUACGAUCAAUUAAUUUUAUUAUUAUACAUUGAUUGCAGGUGAUUACCGUCAAAAAAGUUAUAAAGAAACAACCAAUCGUUGUAAGGAAGAUGUUGUGCAGAAAACAAGCAUACACAAGAAUAAAGAUAAAUCAAGUCUACAUAACGUUGAUGGCAAUGAAUUACCACCGAAAUCCAACAAAAAUGAAAAGCGCAUUGCGGUGGUCCGUCCACAUAUUAAACCAAAGAGCAACGACUGCAAAGAAGUAGAAAAUUCAGAUGACAUAUUACAACAUAGAACAAGGGAAAGUUUUCAGGUAACUGGCGUCUCCGAGAAUACACAAGUUGUUCUUCAUGGAGCAGAGGGCUCAGAAAGCAAACGACCAAAAAACCAGCUAUGUCACGGAACAGAGGACCAACCAUUAUCUCUCAGGGAUAGAGAUAUCUUUAAGGGUUUAAGAAACAACAAUUUUAUCAAUCAUUUUGCUGUAUACACAGAUCUUUAUUUUAGAAUAAAUUAUAAUUCAUGCUAAAUGCGACAUAAAAUCAUUUUGAUUUUUGCAUAAAUAUGUGGAUUGUAGCUCAAGGGUCAAUGCCUCAUUCUUUAUAUAAAACUGUAGUGAUUCGUGUCCGGUAAGACUGUUUUUUGGCAUAUUAAGCCGAUGGUUUGCAAAGAUCAGGGUUAAGAUCACACUAAGGCUUGAAUAUAUAAUUUUAGAAAGCGCAUUUAUAGCCGUAUCCGGUAUAUCAGUUCUUUCUGUCGUUCCUUUUUGAAUGUAAAUCAUGCCCAUUCUGUAACAGAUUUUAAAAUAUUUUGCCUUAAAUUUGUAGCACUUUUAAACCAUAUUCGAUGUCAGACAACAUGUAAGUAGCUUAAAGCUGAAGAUCACAUCUUGACUUCAUAGGCAGUAUUUCCAAAAAGCACUUUGAUGUUCAAGUCCUGUCAUCAGUUCCACCAUUCAUUGAUUGAAUGAAAAAUAAGCAGGCAUUAAUAAAUCUGUGGGACAUAUAUGAUUUGUCAUGCUCAAAUGGCAGGUCGUCAGUUAAAGAUGUCAAUGUGAUACAGGCUUAUAUAAUGGGCAUCGAUGUUUGUAUAUGGUCAUAUCUUUUUCGUUGAUUUGUGGAUGUGUUUUGAAAUUUGGGCAUAUUUGGCAUAUAAGAAAGUGUUUCUUUACUUUAGUAACAUCUUGUUAAUGUUACUAAUUACUAUGCCGUCAAUAUGAGUCAAAAGUCAUGAUUCCUUUACUGGGGCCGCUUCGGGAACAGUCGUCUAUUUAAACGACAAUAUUUUAUAUCAUAAUGACUGAAAGCUAUUUGAGGAAUAUAAUAAAACUCGUUACUGAAACACAAAGUAUCAGAAGAAAUUGAUUAAUUGCAGUAUACGUACAUUUCAUAAUUAAAUUCGCGACAAAACCAAAGUGAAAAUUCAUCAUAGCUUUUGAACUUUAUCGAAUAUUGUCUGUUUAAUGUUUCAAAUAAUAAGUUGUGACUGUUAUGAAACUUACUUUCAAUUCUAUUAAGUCUUUUUUUUUAAUUUUCAGGUACACCUCCUGAAUU